rnacentral:rRNA from 1 species
GAUUAACGCUGGCGGCGUGCAUAACACAUGCAAGUCGAACGAUGAAACUUAGUAGACUUCUUCGGAAAGACACUAAGCGGAUUAGUGGCGAACGGGUGAGUAACGCGUGAGUAACCUGCCUUACACAAGGGGAUAGUCUUUGGAAACGAAGAAUAAUACCCUAUAAAACCAUAAAAGCACAUGCUAGAAUGGUCAAAGUGAUAGCGGCGUAAGAUGGACUUGCGUCUGAUUAGCUAGUUGGUGAGAUAAAAGCUCACCAAGGCAACGAUCAGUAGCCGGCUUGAGAGAGUGUACGGCCACAUUGGGACUGAGACACGGCCCAGACUCCUACGGGAGGCAGCAGUGGGGAAUUUUGCACAAUGGGGGAAACCCUGAUGCAGCGACGCCGCGUGAUUUAGAAGGCCUUCGGGUUGUAAAAAUCUUUUGUAUAGGAAGAAAAUGACAGUACUAUACGAAUAAGGUCCGGCUAAUUACGUG